rnacentral:lncRNA from 1 species
CUUAUUAGAGAAAAAUAGUCUACAGAGAUUAAACACAAUAUCAUAAAUUGAGAUUCAUAAUAUGUGUUUAUGAAACAACUUGCAAUAAUCAUUCUAUCACAUGUGUACCGAUGACUAACCAUAUAGAACAAAAAUACAUAGUAUUCACAUUUGUUAACAUAUCUAUUUGGUGCAGUUUUUCUCUGCUUUGCACCACUUAUCGCUGAAGUAAAAUGUAUGACAUUUCUAUAAUAUCUUAAACAAACAUCCUAAACCCUGUAAUAACUAGAGCUAUGAUGAGAAACAGCAGUAAUACUGUUCUAUUCUAAAAUUCAAUAGUACAUGUUUGACUGAAACAUUCGUGAAAAGAUGCCACAUGUAUCAUUUUUGUCUAUUCUAUGAUUUAUCGAGUGACAACUAUCAUCUAC